CCUAGAGUUGUAGGCUUUGCCUGCUAUCUCUUACCCAUGUCUUUUGAGUACCUUACGUUUCCUCGGUGGGUUCGCCCACCGAUUGGACAAACUUAAACCCUUUGCAGUUGAAAUCAGUGUCUGAAAAAACUUAAUAGUUA
rnacentral:misc_RNA from 1 species